rnacentral:rRNA from 1 species
AUAGGGCGUUUAGUCAGGGGAGUAGACGCGAAACCUUGUGAUCUACCCAUGGCCAGGUUGAAGGUGUGGUAACACACACUGGAGGACCGAACGAGUUUACGUUGAAAAGUAUUUCGAUGAGCUGUGGGUAGGGGUGAAAGGCUAAUCAAACUGGGAAAUAGCUCGUACUCCCCGAAAUGUUUUUAGGAACAGCGUCGUGGUUGAGUUUCAUGCAGGUAAAGCUACCAAUAGGACUAGGGGGAGUCACAUCCUACCAAAUCCUGAUGAACUCUGAAUGGCAUGAAAUAUACACGGCAGUGAGGGCAGGGGUGCUAAGGUCACUGUCCGAGAGGGAAAGAACCCAGACCAACAGCUAAGGUCCCCAAAUCUAUACUAAGUUGAACAAAGGAGGUCUGAUUGCAGAGACAGCCAGGAUGUUAGCUUGGAAGCAGCUAUUCAUUUAAAGAGUGCGUAACAGCUCACUGGUCGAGCGAGGCGGGCAUCGAUAAUAAACGGGCAUCAAGUAUAGUACCGAAGCUUUGGAUUAUGUAUUAUGUACAUACUGGUAGGGGAGCAUUCUGACAUCAAUGAAGGUAAAUCGACAAGGUUUAUUGGAGAGGUCAGAAAAGCAAAUGUAGGGAUGAGUAACGAUAAUGCGGGCGAGAAACCCGCACGCCGAAAAGUCAAGGUUUCCUCAGCUAUGCUAAUCAACUGAGGGUUAGUCGGGGGCUAAGGGUUUAGCGACAGCGAAGACUUAAUGCACAUCAGGUUAAUAUUCCUGAACUUACUAUUAGGGAAACACAAUGACGGAGAUUCGUGGUUUGCAGGUACUGACGGAAUAGUGCCUUUGAGAAGAAGCCGCAAGGCAGAAACGAGUGAGCGAAGAGACUUCCAAGAAAAGUUGUGAAUCUAUACUUAAUAGUAACCCGUACCGUAAACCGACACAGGUGACUGGGAAGAAUAUUCUAAGGCGCUCGAGUGAAUCACGGCUAAGGAACUCGGCAAAUUAACCCUGUAACUUCGGGAUAAAGGGAGCCUACUCAGCGAUGAGAGGCCGCAGAGAAUUGGUCCAGGCGACUGUUUAACAAAAACACAUGGCUUUGCAAAAACGAAGUUGACGUAUAAGGCCUGACACCUGCCCGGUGCUGGAAGGUUAAGAGGGGAUGUCAUACGCAAGCGACGCAUUGAAUCGAAGCCCCAGUAAACGGCGGCCGUAACAAUAACGGUCCUAAGGUAGCGAAAUUCCUUGUCGGGUAAGUUCCGACCUGCACGAAUGGUGUAACGAUCUGGGCGCUGUCUCAGCCAUGAGCUCGGUGAAAUUGUGGUCCCGGUGAAGACGCCGGGUACCCGCAACGGGACGGAAAGACCCCAUGCACCUUCACUACAAUUUAACAUUGACAUUGGUACAGGAUGUGUAGGAUAGGUGGGAGGCUUUGAAGCGGCGUCGCUAGGCGUCGUGGAGCCAACGUUGAAAUACCACCCUUUCUGUAUUCGGUGUCUAAUCCCGCCUUUGCGGAGACAUUGUUUGAUGGGUAGUUUGACUGGGGUGGUCGCCUCCAAAAAGGUACGGAG